rnacentral:rRNA from 1 species
CCUACGGGAGGCAGCAGUCGAGAAUUAUUCACAAUGGGGGAAACCCUGAUGGUGCGACGCCGCGUGGGGGAAUGAAGGUCUUCGGAUUGUAAACCCCUGUCAUGUGGGAGCAAAUUAAAAAGAUAGUACCACAAGAGGAAGAGACGGCUAACUCUGUGCCAGCAGCCGCGGUAAUACAGAGGUCUCAAGCGUUGUUCGGAAUCACUGGGCGUAAGGCGUGCGUAGGCUGUGUCGUAAGUCGUGUGUGAAAGGCGCGGGCUCAACCCGCGGACGGCACAUGAUACUGCGAGACUAGAGUAAUGGAGGGGGAACCGGAAUUCUCGGUGUAGCAGUGAAAUGCGUAGAUAUCGAGAGGAACACUCGUGGCGAAGGCGGGUUCCUGGACAUUAACUGACGCUGAGGCACGAAGGCCAGGGGAGCGAAAGGGAUUAGAUACCCUGGUAGUC